CAGUAGCCGCGGGAAUACGAGGGGGGCAAGCGUUGUUCGGAAUUAUUGGGCGUAAAGGGUGCGUAGGCGGUUUGAUAAGUCAUCUGUGAAAUCUCUGGGCUCAACCCAGAGUCUGCAGGCGAAACUGUCGGGCUUGAGUAUGGGAGAGGUGAGUGGAAUUUCCGGUGUAGCGGUGAAAUGCGUAGAUAUCGGAAGGAACACCUGUGGCGAAAGCGGCUCACUGGACCAUAACUGACGCUGAUGCACGAAAGCUAGGGGAGCAAACAGGAUUAGAUACCCCCGUAGUCCCUGUCUCUUAUAC
rnacentral:rRNA from 1 species